rnacentral:rRNA from 1 species
AGAGUUUGAUCAUGGCUCAGGAUGAACGCUGGCGGCGUGCCUAAUACAUGCAAGUCGAGCGAACAGACGAGGAGCUUGCUCCUCUGACGUUAGCGGCGGACGGGUGAGUAACACGUGGGUAACCUACCUAUAAGACUGGGAUAACUCCGGGAAACCGGGGCUAAUACCGGAUAAUACAUGAAACCGCAUGGUUUCAUGAUGAAAGACGGUUUUGCUGUCACUUAUAGAUGGACCCGCGGCGUAUUAGCUAGUUGGUAAGGUAACGGCUUACCAAGGCAACGAUACGUAGCCGACCUGAGAGGGUGAUCGGCCACACUGGAACUGAGACACGGUCCAGACUCCUACGGGAGGCAGCAGUAGGGAAUCUUCCGCAAUGGGCGAAAGCCUGACGGAGCAACGCCGCGUGAGUGAUGAAGGUCUUCGGAUCGUAAAACUCUGUUAUUAGGGAAGAACAUAUGUGUAAGUAACUGUGCACAUCUUGACGGUACCUAAUCAGAAAGCCACGGCUAACUACGUGCCAGCAGCCGCGGUAAUACGUAGGUGGCAAGCGUUAUCCGGAAUUAUUGGGCGUAAAGCGCGCGUAGGCGGUUUUUUAAGUCUGAUGUGAAAGCCCACGGCUCAACCGUGGAGGGUCAUUGGAAACUGGAAAACUUGAGUGCAGAAGAGGAAAGUGGAAUUCCAUGUGUAGCGGUGAAAUGCGCAGAGAUAUGGAGGAACACCAGUGGCGAAGGCGACUUUCUGGUCUGUAACUGACGCUGAUGUGCGAAAGCGUGGGGAUCAAACAGGAUUAGAUACCCUGGUAGUCC